CACCAGGGUGGCUGUGAGGAGCCGCUGCUCAUGGCUGCCUGUCCCAAGGAGAGGGGUUUGGGGGGAUAUUCCUAGUGGCUGCUGAAACCAUUUCCUUCGAGGAUCCUCCCUGUUUCGCCUCUGCUCGGCACUGGCUGUUAACUUACGCUUUUCCUCGGUGGGACGGAAACAUGCGUCUGGACAAGCUGACAAGCUCCAAGACGCAGUCUGUUCAUCUAAUAAAUCAACAGGAAUGUAUUGAUUCUCUCGUCCGAGGACCAAAGAGAAAAAAACACUCCGGGAGCUUACAAUCUUCUGAUAAACUCAUCUGCCAAGACUACUUGCUUUGAUCUGAGAGAGAUCUUGUUUUCCUUUAUUUAGACUAAAAAAUAAAAAAAUGACAUCACA